CCCCUUGAGAGUGGCGAACGGGUGAGUAAUAUAUCGGAACGUGCCCAGUCGUGGGGGAUAACGUAGUGAAAAUUACGCUAAUACCGCAUACGAUCUAAGGAUGAAAGCGGGGGAUCGCAAGACCUCGCGCGACUGGAGCGGCCGAUAUCAGAUUAGGUAGUUGGUAGGGUAAAGGCCUACCAAGCCAACGAUCUGUAGCUGGUCUGAGAGGACGACCAGCCACACUGGAACUGAGACACGGUCCAGACUCCUACGGGAGGCAGCAGUGGGGAAUUUUGGACAAUGGGCGAAAGCCUGAUCCAGCCAUUCCGCGUGCAGGAUGAAGGCCCUCGGGUUGUAAACUGCUUUUGUACAGAACGAAAAGGUUUCUAUUAAUACUAGGAGCUCAUGACGGUACUGUAAGAAUAAGCACCGGCUAACUACGUGCCAGCAGCCGCGGUAAUACGUAGGGUGCAAGCGUUAAUCGGAAUUACUGGGCGUAAAGCGUGCGCAGGCGGUUAUAUAAGUCAGAUGU
rnacentral:rRNA from 1 species